rnacentral:rRNA from 1 species
AUGGUCGUUCUUCAUGAGACCUUGCACGAAAUUCACUCGAAGAAACUCGAUGGGGUGGUCUUCAAAGUGGAUUUUGAAAAGGCAUACGAUAAAGUGAAAUGGCCAUUCUUACAACAGGCCUUGCGUAUGAAAGGAUUCGAUGAGGCUUGGAGGAAACAUGUCGAAUCAUUUGUACAAGGUGGCAGUGUUGGCAUCAAAGUAAAUAACGAUAUUGGUCAGUACUUCCAGACGCUAAAAGGAUUGAGACAGGGAGAUCCGAUGUCUCCAAUCCUUUUUAAUGUGGUUGUUGAUAUGUUGGUUGUUCUUGUUAAUAGAGCAAAACAGGACGGCCAAGUAGGUGGUCUUAUCCCACAUCUGGUUGAGGGUGGGGUAUCCAUUCUUCAAUAUGCCGAUGAUACAAUCAUUUUCAUGAAACAUGACCUUGUCAAGGCCAGAAACAUGAAGUUAGUGCUUUGCCUUUUCAAACAGCUAUCAGGGUUGAAGAUUAAUUUUAAUAAGAGUGAGUUGUUUUGCUUUGGACGC